rnacentral:rRNA from 1 species
AUUGAACGCUGGCGGCAUGCCUUACACAUGCAAGUCGAACGGCAGCGGGGGAGAAGCUUGCUUUUCCUGCCGGCGAGUGGCGAACGGGUGAGUAAUACAUCGGAACGUGCCCUGUAGUGGGGGAUAACUAGUCGAAAGAUUAGCUAAUACCGCAUACGACCUGAGGGUGAAAGUGGGGGACCGCAAGGCCUCAUGCUAUAGGAGCGGCCGAUGUCUGAUUAGCUAGUUGGUGGGGUAAAGGCCUACCAAGGCGACGAUCAGUAGCUGGUCUGGGAGGACGAUCAGCCACACUGGGACUGAGACACGGCCCAGGCUCCUACGGGAGGCAGCAGUGGGGAAUUUUGGACAAUGGGCGAAAGCCUGAUUCAGCAAUGCCGCGUGUGUGAAGAAGGCCUUCGGGUUGUAAAGCACUUUUGUCCGGAAAGAAAUGGCUCUGGUUAAUACCUGGGGUCGAUGACGGUACCGGAAGAAUAAGGACCGGCUAACUACGUGCCAGCCGCCGCGGUAA